UUAGUCCUAACCUUACCGUUAAUUCUUGCUAAACAUAUACAUGCAAGUAUCCGCGCUCCAGUGUAAAUGCCCUCGGUACCUUACUAAGGCCCGAGGAGCGGGCAUCAGGCACACCCACAGUCGUAGCCCAAGACGCCUUGCUCAGCCACGCCCCCACGGGUACUCAGCAGUAAUUAACAUUAAGCAAUAAGUGUAAACUUGACUUAGUUAUAGCAAUCCCCAGGGUUGGUCAAUCUUGUGCCAGCCACCGCGGUCACACAAGAAACCCAAAUUAACCGUAAUACGGCGUAAAGCGUGACACUAUGCUAUCCCUCUAACUAGGAUCAAAAUACAAUUAAGCUGUCAUAAGCCCAUGAUGUACCCAAAAUCAACCUGAAAACGAUCCCAGCCCCAACGAUCUAUUAACCGUCACGAAAGCUAGAAUACAAACUGGGAUUAGAUACCCCACUAUGCCUAGCCCUAAAUCUUGAUACUUCCCCCACCAAAGUAUUCGCCCGAGAACUACGAGCACAAACGCUUAAAACUCUAAG
rnacentral:rRNA from 1 species